rnacentral:tRNA from 1 species
AAGAUUUUAGUAGUUAAACUAUUUCUAUUUACGAAGUAGAAGUUAAAAGUCUUU